CAGCAGCCGCGGUAACACGAGGGGGGCAAGCGUUGCUCGGAAUUAUUGGGCGUAAAGGGUGCGUAGGCGGUUUGGUAAGUCUUGUGUGAAAUCUUCGGGCUCAACCCGAAGCCUGCACGAGAAACUGCCGGGCUUGAGUAUGGGAGAGGUGAGUGGAAUUUCCGGUGUAGCGGUGAAAUGCGUAGAUAUCGGAAGGAACGCCUGUGGCGAAAGCGGCUCACUGGACCAUUACUGACGCUGAUGCACGAAAGCUAGGGGAGCAAACAGGAUUAGAUACCCCAGUAGUCCCUGUCUCUUAUAC
rnacentral:rRNA from 1 species